rnacentral:lncRNA from 1 species
CCGCCCCGCCCCUCCGGGCAGCGAGGUUCCGCCUCACCUUUCAAAGGCCCUAUGCUGGUCCGGCUUCUCUCCACCACCCACCCACUGACGGCAGGGCCCCGCCUGCAGGCCGUUCAGCUAUUUGUCUGCUGUUGCGCGCACCGUGACCCACGCGGAAGUGGAGAGCGGCGAGUGGAGGUCCCAGCGCAGCCGACUUUCUUGUAA